AUAAAAAGAAGCAUGAUGCUUGGUGGGCCCUUUUGGGUUUUGAAGACCAAAUACUUUGCGCUUGAAAAUACUUCUCCAUCACAUUCAUUAAAUGACAGGGAAGGCUGCUGGUUUUUUAGUUCAGCCAAGAGCAAGAAAGGGCUCUGGAACAGAUCCAAGCUGCUGUACAGGCAGCCUUAUUGCUUGAGCCGUAUGACUUGGCAAACAUCAUGAAACUGGGAGGAUUUUUGGUAGAGAAAGAUGCUGGGGUUUUGACAUAUGGCCAUACUAUCUAUAGUUGGCGGAAUUGUGUCUCAAAAAGAUGUGUCGAAGUCCUAACUCCUGGCACCUAUGAAUAUGACCUUAUUUGGAAAUAAUGUCUUUGCAGAUGUAAUCAGGUUAAAAUAAGGUCAUCCUGUAAUAGGGUGUACCCUAAAUAGGAUGGCUUGUGUCCUUAUAAGGAGAGGGAGAUUUGGAGACAUACUUACUCACAGGGAGGGAACGCCAUGUGAAGACAGAGGCAGAGACUGGAGCAAUGCAUCUAGAAGCCAAGAAACACCAAGAAUUGCCAGCAACCGGAAGCUGGGAGAGAGGCUUGGGGUGGUUUCUCCCUCAGAGCUUCCAGAAGGAACCAACCCUGUGAACAGCUGGACUUUGGACUUCUGGCCUCCAGAACUGUGUUUCUAGCUGUGCACAGGGACUGAUUGGCUGAGGACUCACACUGGAGAGCUCCAGACAACAUAAUAGUGAACGGUGAGGAAGCCCUUGUAGUCUGAACUCCAAAGGGGAUCAGUGACCACUGACAGGGUGGGUGCAUGGGGGAUCACAGCAAGGCUGUCCGCUCGGUUUUAGAAGUGUGGUUGGAACCAAGUUCACAGCACCAUGUACCUCUUCUUUAUUGCACUUAGCAUUAUUGCAAUGUUCCCAUUAUUCGAGGGACUUUUUGAUGAACAAUUGUCUCCCCCACUAGACUGUAGAGAAAGGGAGGGCCCCAAACAGGCAGAAAACGUGGUUGUCAAAAGGAUAGACCCUGAAGCUUGGAUUCGAAUCACAGGUCUGCCUUUUCCUAGCUGUAGGACUUCAGGCAAGUGACAUAAAGUCUCCAUGCUUCAGUUUCCUAUUUGUAAGAUGAGGUUCAUAACCCAUCUACCUCACUAAGUUGUUGUGAAGAUUAAGAGAGUAUAGAAUGCAGUGCCUGGCAUGUAGGAAGUACUGGAAAGGCAUUUGUUCAAUAAAUAAAACAGCAAAGAAGGAAGUGGUUAAAUC
rnacentral:lncRNA from 13 species